GGCGAACGCUGGCGGCGUGCUUAACACGUGCAAGUCGAGCGGUAAGGCCCCUUCGGGGGUACACGAGCGGCGAACGGGUGAGUAACACGUGAGCAAUCUGCCCAUCACAUCGGGAUAACUCCGGGAAACCGAAGCUAAUACCGAAUACGACCACCUCCGGCAUCGGAUGGUGGUGGAAAGUUCCGGCGGUGAUGGAUGAGCUCGCGGCCUAUCAGCUUGUUGGUGGGGUAACGGCCCACCAAGGCUUCGACGGGUAGCCGGCCUGAGAGGGUGACCGGCCACACUGGGACUGAGACACGGCCCAGACUCCUACGGGAGGCAGCAGUGGGGAAUAUUGGACAAUGGGCGAAAGCCUGAUCCAGCAACGCCGCGUGAGGGAUGACGGCCUUCGGGUUGUAAACCUCUUUCAGCAGGGACGAAGCGCAAGUGACGGUACCUGCAGAAGAAGCACCGGCCAACUACGUG
rnacentral:rRNA from 1 species